GACAAAAAGGCACAAUUCUACCGAAUAUUUUAACAAAAAAUACAGCUGUCUUCGACUAGGUCUUUAUAAAUACUUCAAAAAGGGAGGGGGGGGGGGAAAUAAAUACAGGAUUGGGCCAUGUGAUAUAAAAUAGUCAUCUCUACAUAUAGUUUUUGUUUCUACCUGCUCCUCUUCAUGCACCUUCUCAAUUCAAUUCAGCCGAAUGGACACCAAAGCCAGGCACGUAGUGAAAAACCUUCUGUACACAGCUUUACAAACGUAAUGACCGCCUGCUGCAAGGCCCGCCACUCAGGCCGAUACGCCACACAACCCUUCAUUGAGAUCCGCGUGAGUUCGGAACCUAACGACUGCCAUGCCGGGCAACUGACACGAGUCCAACCAGCCCACGGGCCGUCAGUCGGCAUCAAAGGUCUCUCGGUCAGGCUGCACAAGUAAAGGUAACAUUCAGCAAACGGUUCCAUCCCGACACAGUACGGGGUGCUGUGCUGUCACUGCCGUCCCUCCGCCACCUCCUGCCGACAGCUGCCCUACCGAGCCGGCCAUCCCGCAGCCAUCCGGCUGCUCUUGGAAUGGGGGGGGGAAGCGCUUUUUUGGUUUGGGUUCAGCGUAACUCGAAACGUUAGAAAGCUUAUAAACCUAAACAUCGGGGAGCAAAACAGGUAAGGCAUUCAUUCUGCACAACACUAGCAAUCGUAAUAGUGCAAAUUAACAAGGUACCUCUUUCCAACUGGUGUGAGGUUACACGCUAGAAUCAGAAUUUAGAUUACUCCAUCUAUGGCUUGAAGAAUUCCCCAUGUGGACGUGAGCUGCUUACCGAGACAACGCCUGCCUUAAACGUGCAGUUGUAUGUCAAGCAGAGCGACCUGCAUUUACCGUCCGUCUGCCUGCUGCUUUUUGAUCGCCUCGGUACCUCUAUUUUAACACACCCCAAAAGCAACUACGUAACGUCACGUUCGCCAGUGCCCUGCUGGGCUUCCAUCUGUGCAAGUCAUGAGGUCAAUCCAAAUUCUUGGGUCCAGCAAUGGUCUUUUCAAAGAACACCGUGUUAAACCAAACUUCCUUCUCUCAGCAUCACCCCAGAAGAUAUCAAAAGGCUGAGACUUCAGAGUUUUAAAACGUGAACGACAGGGAUACAUUCUGUUGCAAUAUUUAAGUAAGUUACAACUUGCAUAGCAAGACGGGGUGUUAAUAAGCCUUCUUCUGAUUGAAUCUUCUGGAAGACUCAGUUACGGCAGAGUUCUACUGUACUUUAACAUCUUCCCUGCUCGAGAGGCAAGGGUCUAACAACGCAACGCCAGUGAGCGUGGUUAACAGCAGGCUGGGCUGUUCUUUAUGCCUGUGUUUCUCUAACACGUUGCAGCUGAAACCUUCGUUUCACCAGUGCAUACCUAACUUAAAUCUACGCAGAAUUCCAAAACGUCCAGGCUCCUAACAAUCCACUGUUACAUGUGCGCUCUACUCGGUACAAAAAAAGUAUCAUAAUGAACUGUUAAUAUUAUUGCUCAUAGCUUUCUCGUUAUUGCCAUUUGCAAUUAUUAAAAAAGUAUGCAUACGAGUUCCCUCUUCCAUCAAAUCUAGUCCAGAAUAGAAUAACUUUUCUUCAUUUGACUGUAAAGAGCUAAUCACAAUUUAUUGCCUCUCCAUUUUAUUUAAAAAUAUAUAUUUAUGUCCAUUUUAAGGUAACCCUUUAGUGUCAUAAGCCGGGCUUUCCCAAUACGUUACCAUUAGUGCAUAUGUGGUGGGCUUUGGGAAAUCCUACUGACUGGUGCCUUAGCAUUUUGUUGCUUGAAUUGUCAAGGUGUUUGGGAGGCAGGUAACGAAAUGCUGACGGGUCAUUCCACGGGGCACGGUGACCUGCGAGCCCAGCCCCUCUCUCAGAACUAAGCCACUGGAGGCUUUUCUCCACGCUCAGUCUGAGUACUUUUAAGCUGUUGCAGUGUAAGGCAGCUGCAACCCUGCCCUGUCCCUUCCUUUUUUUCCAGUUGAGCAUCUCGGUCUCGGACUUACACAUCAACUCUGGAGCUUACGGAGGGUUUUAAGCUGCCACUUGUGCUCAAAUCAAAUGCAACAACAAACAUUCUGCAAAGAGAGGACAAAGACCUACCACCAUCCAAGGGGCAUUGGGACCCAAAGAUGGACUAUUGAACAACACUGCGUUUUCCAUUGUGGAGAAUGAAGAAGGC
rnacentral:lncRNA from 1 species